CACGAAGAAUCAGCGUACCUCCUGAAAGACAAGCAUGGUUGGUGUUGGGAUGGAGAAGAUUGCUUGUCUGCUUCUCUGUCUUUCUCUCCUCUCCGACAGAGGGGACUGUUUAUCCGAAGAGACACUUCAGCCUAUUAUGAAAGAAAUGUUGAAGAGGUUUGACCAACCAAAAUUGAUACAACAAAUAAAAACGAUAAACCGAAGAAAACCGGCUGAUGAACCAAUGGCUACAGGCCGACAGUACAGUUUUGCUCUUAAUCUCUCAACAAAUGACUGUAAUCAAGGAAAGCUGGGAAACAACAUCCCUGCAGACUUCGAACACCUCAGGGACACUAUAGCAAGAGAAGAGGUGUACAACAACUAUGGUGUUGUUGCAGCACUCCCUGUCCACCACUAUAAAAAUGGUAGAAAGUUGUAUACAGACCAUUCAGAAUACAGAGUCCUCACAGAACUAGGACAAACAAUUGAGCCUGGAUGCCUGAUUGUCUUUACUUAUUUCAGCCCUUGUUUCUCCAAGUGCCUGAACAAUAACAACAGGGCUAAUAUCACUAAACUGCUCACGAACUUAAGAGACAUAAACCAAAACAGACCCAUUGUAUUAGUUUUCAGUUCAUUGUUUCAUCAUGACAUGAAAAAUAAUCCAAAAAAAGUAAUUUAUGAGAAUCUGAAAAAAAUGCCGGUCCAGGUUUACUGCUAUAAUGAAACAGGUAAGACAGUUACCAUAUUUGAUAAAAAUCAAGAUAUGAAUCAGCACUGCCUAAAUAUAGUUCAGUGAUUUAUAUGAUCACUUCUUUUAAAGCAAUAUACUGUAUUUCUGUUGUGCUGUGAUAAUGUGAUUGGUGUGAUAAUGCAAUAGUUUUCUCUUUUAAUGUCCAUCAUGAAUGAUUUCAAACGCUAUAUGGCUUUUAAAAUAGCACAGAAUAAAAUAAAAGAAUGCAAGCAAUUCAUAA